UUUUGACAGAAAAGGUCAUUCGGAAAACACAGGUGGAAGAGAAUAUGCAGAACAUAUGCUGGUGGAGGAAGUGAAGAAAAAUAAAAAGUCUAAUAAGCAAACAGGCAAAUCAAAAGGGAAGAGUGUUCAAAUUCAUGAAGGCAUUGAGACCCUGAAUACCAGUGUUCCUGAUGAUCCCACUCCUACUUCAAAGAAAGUGAGUUACAUACUAGUCCAUAUGCUCAUGUUGAUUUUAUAUGCCUUAUAUUUGUUAUAACAUUCUCUCAAUCUGCAGAAGAAAAAGAAAACAGGAAAACAGAAAAAAGAAGAGACUAAAGAAGAAAAGGAAGAGCCCAUAAAAGCCCAGAAUGUGACAGUUAAAGUUAAAAAGAAAAAGGGUCAACCAGCAUUUGUUGUAGGUGAGUUUAUGUUAAGAUAAGCUAGUGAGCUGUCUCCAUCAGCAGCAUGAAUAUUUUACAUUUAUAUCAUUAAACAUUCAUAUGCAACGCUUAAAAGUGCUUAGACAAUUGUUUAAAAUAGUUUUUUUUUUACUGCUCAAAAGUUUGGGGUGAGUUUGUUAUGAUUUUUUUUAAGAAUGUAAUACUUUUAUUCAGCAAGGAUGCAUUAAAUUGAUCAAAAGUGACAGUUAAGAAAUGUUAUAAAAUAAUUCAACUUCCAAUUUUUUACUUUCUAUUCUAUUUCAAAGAAUCCUGAAAAAAAAAUGCUCACACAAAAAUAUUAAUAUUAAUAAGAACAACUGUUUUAAACAUUAAUAAUAAUAAUAAUAACAAUAAUAAUAAAUAUCUACUGAGCAGCAAAUCAGCAUAUUAGAAUGAUUGUUUAAACAGAAAAAAAAAUUAAGAAAAUCCCAUUUUAAUGCCUCUGUUUUUAGGAAAACCACAGCCACAUGAUGUUGAAUGGAUGGCAAAUUCAGUGGAUGAGCCUGAGAGACUGAUGAGCCAUGAGAGAGAGGAGACGACUCACGACACAGAGGAUGAACUAGAAAACACUGAGAACACACCAGAACACACCUACACUGACUCUGAAGAUGACAUGGAUGCUGAUACAGACCGAGAGAGUACAGACACACAUGAAGCACACGAAGUCUCUCCCAGAUCAGUUUACAGCACUCACAGAUCACAGCACUCACUCAUUACAGCUUGUUCAGAUGCCAGCUUUCACAGACUCUCACAGAGCUCCAUCAGAACCCCCUCAAUGGGGAUGGCGUCCCACUGCGGCCCGUGCAGCCCAGCACCCCUGUCUCUCAUCUACCUGCCUCCUCAGUCAGCACUACCUCCUGCCUCAGACCCUACUAAAUCUGAUCCAGGCAAUGAUGUUAAAAGCAACGAGGUUCCAACUAACCAAACAGACAAAAAAGCUGCAGCGCUGGCUGAAAAGGCAGAGCGCCGUCGUCUGGAGGUGGAGAAGAAACGGAAGGAGAGAGAGGAGGAAAAGAAGAGACAGCAAGAAAAGGAGGCGACAGAAGAGAGGAUGAGGCUGGAACUGGAAGAAGAACAAAGGAAAAGAGCAGAGGAAGCAAGGUACAACAUGUAACUGUUUUUUGGAAACAAAUACUGUAACGAAAUACUAUAUCCCGCAGAUACUGGCAAAAAAACAAAUACUAUCACUGUCACAUUUGCAGGUUACAGAAGAUCAGAGAGGAAGAUGAGAGACAAAGAAAACAGAAGGAAGAGAUGGAGAGACAGAGGAGAGAGCAGGCAGAGAAAGACAGAGAAAGAAGACAACAGGAGGAGAAGAGGAGGCUGCUGGAACGGCUCCAGAGAGAAAGACAGGAAGAGGAGAAACGGCAGGCUGGUAAAUACCUGUGCAGUCAUGGUUUCUGAUUGGUCGAGGCCCUUAUCACGUGACAGUCUUGGUAUCUCUUGGACUGAAUUCUGGUUGUGUAUGACUACUGUGAGAACGGAUCUGAAUCAAGAUUAUGACUAUGUUGCAAACUCUAGCAAAGCUAGACAGCUGCCUUCUAAGGGCUGAUUCGCACAGAACAUGUUUUGUGUUUAAGGUAAAAAAUAAAAUUAAAUACACAAGGCACAUGGCAGUGGAAUAAAGAAUAAAAAAAGAGGUCUAAAGAUGCAUUUUUUAAAUUCAAGUUUUUGCAAGUUUAACUUUUUUUAGAAAACCAUGUCAUGCGCAGGAUGUUACAAACGAUGUGCAGUGGUCAAACACAUCAGUCUAUUGCAUGUUUACAUAAAAGAAGAUGGAAAACCAGUCCAUUGCAAAACCAUAAGUGAAAUGAAAACAAAAAGAAGAUUUAGAUCUAUGUUUUAAGGGUUUUUUCUUUCUUUUUUUUACUUUUAAAGUUGAACUUCUUUCAACUUGAGUGUCAUGUUUUUAGAAUGGUGUGUCAAGUGCAGGAUGCUGCAAAAGAUGCAUUUUUUUGCAUGCAGAAGAUGUGAGCGUAAUAGUUAUACAUGUCUGUCUAUGCACGUUUAUACAGAAAACAAUGCAAAACCAGACUCUGUGUGAAUGGCCCCUUAAGGCUGUAUUGUCACCAGCACAGAAACAAAUAAGCGUAUGAUUUGGAACAAUCUACAGCUACUCAGUGUGAUAUAAAUAGACUUGAAAGCUGAUUUAAAUUAAGUUUGAUUUUAGCAUGUUGCUAAGCUAACAUUGCAAUUAACCUAAAAAUACAUAACACAAAAUAUAAUUUAUCAAAAUAUACUUUACUAAUUAAAAUACUAAUUUAUAAAUAAAUUUGAUGAUUUAUUUAUAAUGAGCGUAUUAUUUAUAUUUAUUUAUUUGUUUUACUUACGGUCUUGUGUCCUUCACUUGCACAUGAAGUUAGCGGAGACCUUACGGAGUCCCACUGCUCAUUUUAUGAAUCAAGAGGGCGCUCACAAGGGCUUUAUGGCCACCUUGAUGCCAAGUGUGCAGACUAUUACCCACAGUCAAUGCAGCAUUACAUCACCUAAGUGUGUGUCUGGUGGAGGAACACACAGAUCAUUAUACAUCCUACAAACUUUCUAAAUAAGUUGAAUGAAUGACUGUCCUCAUUUUCAGCUCAGCUGGAACAUCUGCGUUUGCGAAGGGCGCUCGA
rnacentral:lncRNA from 1 species